CACGGAAAAUGACUGCUGCUGGUCAUGUGGAAAAAAAUAAGUGUACCUCUUGGAUGCUAAAGGAUGCACUGUAUUCAAAACUUAUUGAAUAGAUGCGUGGAGCCCGCUGGGCAAGUUCUUCAGCAAGUACCCGUGAAAAGGUUUGGCCAGCUUACGAUGAAUAAGGCAUUGGAAUAUGCAUGAAAAAAAGGAGGAAAAAGAAUUUGAGCUGCUCUUUCUAGAAAGGGUGGAUUACUGCCCCAUCUGAGGUACCUAAAUUAAUAUUUUAUACAUUCACUAUGGCAAGAUUUCUAUUUCAAAAGAAGAUUCACCUUGCUGAAGGUUCAGAUUUCCUAAACUUAGUGCAUGAAGACAAAUGACACCUAUCCCCUUAAGUGAGUGAUGUUGUUUUGUAAACUAAAUGAAGCAGAGAUCUGUAGAAAACCAGCACCAAAUCACAUAAUUAAAAUCCAUUAUAAGGUAUGUAUGGAAAGAGAUCAUUAAUUAAAGUGGUGCAGCUGACAUUCACUUUGGCAUUUCCCAGCUUUUGAAUACUUAGAUUUGCAAAUUUCAUUAAUGUUUUUCCUGUGCAUUUAAUUAAUGUCAUAUAUGGUGCAUACAGUGGUAGAAUCUAGAACCUCUAGGCAAGGACUGUAAGGCUGUGUAGUCACAACACUGAAUAUCUGUCAAAGUUACUACUGUCUUUGGCUAAAUCUGAGCAGUGAAAAAGGCUGGGAUGUGUGAUCAUUGUUUUCAGAACACUGAUAGCAGUGGGUAGCCCCUGACUUGUCCAUGUCUGUGCUUUUCACAACAGGAGAUGUGUUAUCUUUGUACUAUGCUGUGUUAUGGCCUUAGGUCUCUAAAUUUUGUAGUGAUAAAGAUGGUCAGUAGUAAUUUGUAAUAGAAAACCUUUUCAAAUCCUUAAGGCCCAUCGGUGUGUGUCAGAUCUCCCCAGCUGGAUGUUACAGGCUGCGUGUUGCUAAUGGACAAUGGAGAUUGUCAUUUUGUUUCCUUAGGAAUGCCUGUGGUUUUGGAGACGUCCAUUCUUUCUUCUUCCCACAGAGCUCAAAGUGAUUUGGGCAUGCAGUAGUGACCAUGAACAUUUCUGGCUUCUAUGCAUUUCUUACAGUAUUAGAUAAGCUGCUUGGUUUUGUAACAGAAAACAGCUAGAAUCAUCUCCUUUGAAAAUGCUUGAGUGACCAGC
rnacentral:lncRNA from 1 species